UGAACGCUGGCGGCGUGCCUAAUACAUGCAAGUGAAACGGGUAUCUUCGGAUACCAGUCGCGGACGGGUGAGUAAUACAUAGGCAACCUGCCUUUAUGAGGGGGAUAACCGAGGGAAACUUUGGCUAAUACCGCAUGAAGACUCUAAGGCAUCUUAGAGGGAUAAAAGUUGGGAAACAACGCAUGAAGAUGGGCUUAUGGCGCAUUAGCUAGUUGGUGAGAUAGAAGCCCACCAAGGUAAUGAUGCGUAGCCGACCUGAGAGGGUGAACGGCCACAUUGGGACUGAGACACGGCCCAAACUCCUACGGGAGGCAGCAGUAGGGAAUUUUCGGCAAUGGGGGGAACCCUGACCGAGCAACGCCGCGUGAAGGAAGAAGGUUUUCGGAUUGUAAACUUCUGUUAUAAGGGAAGAACGGAUUGGAUAGGGAAUGAUCUGAUAGUGACGGUACCUUAUUAGAAAGCCACGGCUAACUACGUGCCAGCCGCCGC
rnacentral:rRNA from 1 species